ensembl:lncRNA
GUUACUAAUGCAUAUUUACAAGACAGGUGCUUGUGAGAUUGCUUGUGUUUGUCUUUGUUUUGAUUUUUUUUGUUUUUUUGUUUUGUUGUAAUAUUGUGGUACACAAUGAUCUCUUAAACACGCUAUUGUUGAAAUCAAGGUUCUGUACUGAUUUCAACUUGAAAGACAAGACAGGUGGUGUCUGCUGACAGCUGUCAGUCCUUAGCCGGACAGAGACAUUUGUGUGUUUUAUAAUAUUUGAUAUAGUGAAAUAAGAGCUCUCCUACUACUGUCAAUGUCAUUUCAGCUUUAUAGAUUAACACGCAGUAUUUAUUAACACAGCCUAUUACAACCUUAUAUGAUAAACAUCCAAUUAGUUCUAAAUAAUGUUUUCCAUGUGUUCAAUAAUAAUGGAUUUUGAGUUUGAAGGUUUACAUUAUUUAUCCUUAUAAAAUGAAAUUAAUAUGGCACAUAUAACUUUCUCCUGAAAAGACAUUUCAAGUAUUGUGACCAAAGAACUGUCAUCUCUCUCUCUCUCUCUCUCUCUCUCUCACACACACACACACACACACACACACACACAAUUGUAAAACCAAUCCAAGUUUCCUUAAUACUGUACAACCAGUUGAAAUGGACUAUGGUAGAUAUUUUUGUCUUCUGUUCGAUUAUUUCAGCAAACCUAUGCAUCGGGGCAGUUCCUGAGAGUUUCUUUUAUUUCUUUCUUUUUUUUUUAAUGUCAGGUGUUUAAGCAUGCAUGCAAGGGAGAUACAUUUGUCUCCAAGUGUAUCCUCAUAAAAGGGUGUCUCACCAAAAAUCAAGGUCUAAAUUCUAUUUUUAUUAACUUUCACUGAGAGACCUGAUUAUUUUCAGCAGAUGUAACCUGAAUUUGUAUGUAUGUGUGUGACACUGAAUCUAUCUGAAUGUGUAUGAGUGCACACUAAUGUAAGGUCGAAGAGGAUGUUUAUUUUGUGAAAAAAAUCUCAAACAGUGUUUGUUGAAUGAGAUUAGUUUUCUGUUCAGCAGUGAUGCCUGGUCUCAAAAUUCGGGGAAACAAACAUAUCAGUAACCUGAAUUUUUGAUAAUCAUAAUCUUCAUGUUGUGCCACGCAUUGAGAGACAGUGAAAUACACAAUGCUGUAAUCUGUGUACUCUUGUGUUACUACUGUCAAUUUGAUUACAUUAUACAAUUUGAUUAAAUAAUAAAGUUGUUUAAACAGUU